UAAGUGUUGGUGUUAAUGCACGUGGAUUUUUGAGGUCUAAAGACUCAAUUAAUUGUUGAGAUACUUAA
rnacentral:tRNA from 1 species